GGGCCAUAGCUCAGUGGCUCAGUGUCUGCCUUGCAAGCAGAAAGUUCCAGGUUCAAUUCCCACUGGCAUCU